rnacentral:lncRNA from 10 species
CUGGGAUCCCGGGCGGAGCUUCCCGCCAGUCCCGCGCCGCGAGCCCGCACUCCUCAGCCCUUGGGCGGUCAAUGGGGCGCGGCGCUGUGAAGCAGGGGGCGGCGCCUGUCAGGGAGGCUCCGGCGGCGCCGGAGGGAGUGGGGGUUUGCUCAGGCAUGCCGGGCUGCAGGUCCCAAGCCCGUCCCGCUGGGAAGAGGCUGAGGCCUGGCAAGAAUUAGAGCGCUGCGCCGGCAGGCCGGAAGUGCUGGCGGACCCAGCGCACCCUCCGCAGCUGCUGGCCCAGGUGCUAAGCUUCUCACUGCCUGGGGCCAGCAUUGUCAGCUGCCUGCUCGGAAUGCGGGGCCAGCCGAGCCCGCACCCACCGGGAACUCGUGCUGGCCAGCGAGCGCCAGCGCGCGGCCCAGGUUCCACCCGCGCCUCUCUCUCCAAACCUCCCGGCAAGCAGAGGGAGCCGGCUCCGGCCUCAGCCAGCCCAGAGAGGGGCUUCCACAGUGCAGCGGUCAGCUGAAGGGCUCCUGAAGAGGGGCCAGAGUGGACACCGCAGCCUGAGGAGGUGCAGAGGGAGCGAGGGCUGCUAGCACGUUGUCACCUCUCAAUAGCAAGACCAAAGCUUACAGAUGUCCAUUAUGUAAAUAGGUGUUCACCAGGAGCUGCCUGCUCAUGCUCAGACAACAGGAGGUCUCACAACACUGUCAAAUCAUCUACAAUUGCUAGAACUGCUGCAUUGUCUUCAAGAUGCUGUACAAGAAACAUGGCUCCAGCAUCUGCUUCUGUUGCAG